UACAUAAAAUGGAAUAUAAAUGAAAUGAAAUGAAAAUGCAAUUGGUUGGUAUCAUAGCCAGCCUGGCUAUGGCUGCUGGCUUUCUGGGAUUGAUGUUAGUACUCAGAUGCUCAAUCAGCAGUUCCAAGAACCAUUUGUAGCAGUGGUGAUUGAUCCAACAAGAACAACAUCUGCAGGGAAAGUGAAACUUGGCGCCUUUAGGACAUACCCAAAGGGCUACAAACCUCCUGAUGAAAGACCUUCUGAGUACCAGACUAUCCCACUUAAUAAAAUAGAAGACUUUGGUGUACACUGCAAACAAUAUUAUGCCUUAGAAAUCUCAUAUUUCAAAUCCUCUUUGGAUCUCAAAUUGCUUGAACUUUUAUGGAAUAAAUAUUGGGUGAACACGCUGAGUUCCUCCAGCUUGCUUACUAAUGCAGACUAUACCACUGAUCAGGCCUUGGAUUUGUCUGAAAAGUUAGAGCAGUCAGAAGCCCAGCUGGGACGAGGGAGUUUCAUGUUGGGUUUAGAAACACAUCACCGAAGCCAGAAUACAAACUUGCCAAAGGUAUGAGAGACAGCUGUAAAACUACCAUAGAAGCUAUCCAUGGAUUGAUGUCUCAGGUUAUUAAGAAUAAACUGUUUAGUCAAAUUAACAUCUCUUAAA